rnacentral:lncRNA from 1 species
AUAUAUAUAUGGUGAUAUUUGCAGUAGAUGGGCAUUGGCUUAGCAAUCUGGUCAUAUCAGAGUCCGGUUGCAGUCUGUAACAGCUUUAAAUAUUAUUAUAAUCUUGUAGUUUAAAAUAAAUACUUUAAUUAGAUGAACAUUAAGGUAUAUGCGAAUGGCAAUGUUUGAAACCAGGUUCGAGUGCCACGUGCGACUCUCGCACGAAGAAUGUAUUUUAUUUUAAAAUGUGAGAAUUCGUUUUUUUUCUUCUUGUUUUGUAUGUCACCAUUUUGAGUGCUAAAUAAAGUUUUUCUGUGUUUCUUCAAUGGAGUUACUUCAUAUUGCCAAAGAAGUAUCACAAGUCAUUGCGAAGUGGAACGCAGCCAAAUUGAAGAAACAGCAGAAUUUCACUUUUAAAAACUCCAUAUCUUUAUUCACUUAAAAUGCCAAAUCACUAUUCUUUUAGAUUCUCUAAAAUUACACAUCCAAUAAUGAUUUAAAUUAAAAAUAAGGUUAAAUUUAAGCUUUCGACGUCAUAACUAUUCUAACAAAGGAAAGAAGAAGGGACAGAGCAGCGCAAGGUCUUAUAGCAGCCAUGGUAGGCAGCUGUCUCACUAAAAAUGGCGCGAACUCUGCAUUUAUAGUAGCGAUUACAUAACAUGCCAGAAUGUUCUCGAAAGUACUGGUCUAUGGGGGUAAGAUCCUGAAAUUACGGAAAGUUAGAGGUUGCCUAUUCGCGUAGAGCAAAGCCAUCGUAUUUUUUAUAUUUUACAUAUAUUUUUUAUAUUAAGAAACUGAAAAAUAAUCAUUGUAAAAUGUAACGGUGGUACUUAAGUUUUUCAGUUCUUGUUUAGAUCAUACGCGUUAGUCAAAACGUUGAGAACCGCUGCCGUAGAGGAUUAAUUUUACGGUAUCAGAUAUCGACUUUUCAUAUCCUUUUAUUAAAUUUUUAUGAUCAGCGUUAGGAGAAGUAUGAAAUGGAUUUCAUUUUGAUUAAUCUAUUUUUCGAAUUAUGUUGCAAAAGUAACUAAGCAAAUUUAAUCAAUCUCGAUUUAGCAAAUGUUUUUAUUUAUUCACCUGGAAUCUUAUAAAACCAAUAAAAACUUCCCUACAAUUAAAAAAAAAAAAAAAAAAAAAAAAAAAAAAAAAAAAAAAAAUUAAAAAUGCGGCUCCAUCGUUUGAUGAAAAGCUGUCAAACUCUUCGCAUUGUGAUUUUCUUUUUUCUCAAGUGGCAACAGUUAAAGAGUUUGGAAUGAAGAAAAAAUAUUAGAAUUUGUUUUCAAGAGAAGAAUCUCGUUAUCAUUUGUUUUACUCCUGUUCUCUCGUUAAUAAAUUUAUUUAAAAGGGUUUAUUCUCUACAAUAUACUGUUAAUACAUUUGUCCCUUUUUUCUGUCUGAGAUAUAAGAGAAGAAAAAAUUAGAAAAUCCAAAUGGAAAAAAGGAAGAUUCAGGAUAGAAACAAUUUCUUUGAAAACGAAGUUAAUGUAACAUCUGAGAGGACGAGCAAUAUAUAUUUUAUAAAGUUUCUCUUCAGGAGGAAAAAAAAAAGGCAGCUGUAAAGAAACAUUUUCAGAAAACAAAGGAAGGAGAAAAAAUAUAAGUUCAUAUAAAUAAGUUUAAAAAACCUUAACUGGGGAAGUUACAACAUGUUUAGCAAUAUUGUUUUUUGUUAUAAUAAAGUUUAGACAGUCAA